UACGGGGGGGGCAAGCGUUGUUCGGAAUUACUGGGCGUAAAGCGCACGUAGGCGGACAUUUAAGUCAGGGGUGAAAUCCCGGGGCUCAACCCCGGAACUGCCUUUGAUACUGGGUGUCUCGAGUCCGGAAGAGGUGAGUGGAAUUCCGAGUGUAGAGGUGAAAUUCGUAGAUAUUCGGAGGAACACCUGUGGCGAAGGCGGCCCUCUGGACGAGUACUGACGCUGAGGCGCGAAAGCGUGGGGAUCAAACAGG
rnacentral:rRNA from 1 species